rnacentral:rRNA from 1 species
GUAAUGGCAGGUCAGCAUACUGCCGUGAAUACGUUCCCGGGCCUUGUACACACCGCCCGUCACACCAUGAGAGUUGGAGAUACCCGAAGCCUGUGAGCUAACAAACGAGGCAGCAGUCGAAGGUAGAAUCAAUGAUUGGGGUGAAGUCGUAACAAGGUAAC